UACGGAGGAUCCGAGCGUUAUCCGGAUUUAUUGGGUUUAAAGGGUGCGCAGGCGGGAGAUUAAGUCGGCGGUGAAAUUUUGCAGCUCAACUGUAACAGUGCCGUUGAUACUGGGGAGCUAGGAUUUGGUUGCUGUGGGUGGAAUGUGUGGUGUAGCGGUGAAAUGCUUAGAGAUCACACAGAAUAUCGAUUGCGAAGGCAGCUCACAAAGCCAAGAUUGACGCUGAGGCACGAAAGUGUGGGGAUCAAACAGGA
rnacentral:rRNA from 1 species